GGCGGCGGCCUAACACAUGCAAGUCGAGCGUGAAGUUGCACUUCGGUGCAAUGGAGAGCGGCGGACGGGUGAGUAACGCGUGGGAACGUACCUUUUGGUGGGGGAUAACUCCGGGAAACUGGAGCUAAUACCGCAUACUCCCUUCGGGGGAAAGAUUUAUCGCCAAAAGAUCGGCCCGCGUUGGAUUAGCUAGUUGGUGUGGUAACGGCGCACCAAGGCUUCGAUCCAUAGCUGGUCUGAGAGGAUGAUCAGCCACACUGGGACUGAGACACGGCCCAGACUCCUACGGGAGGCAGCAGUGGGGAAUAUUGGACAAUGGGCGCAAGCCUGAUCCAGCCAUGCCGCGUGAGUGAAGAAGGCCUUAGGGUUGUAAAGCUCUUUCAUCGGUGAAGAUAAUGACGGUAGCCGAAGAAGAAGCCCCGGCUAACUCCGUGCCAGCAGCCGCGGUAAUACGGAGGGGGCUAGCGUUGUUCGGAAUCACUGGGCGUAAAGCGCGCGUAGGCGGCUUGGUAAGUUGGGCGUGAAAGCCCGGGGCUCAACCCCGGAACUGCGUCCAAAACUACCAGACUAGAGUCCGGGAGAGGGUGGUGGAAUUUCCAGUGUAGAGGUGAAAUUCGUAGAUAUUGGAA
rnacentral:rRNA from 1 species